ACUUCCAAAACAGAGCAGUCAACUGAGCCAUGUUGCUAAAGAUAAUAGAGAUUGACAUACCAUGUAAAGAAAGGAUCUCGUUUAAAUAAAUCUUAACAUAAUGAUCUACGGAUGGUUUAAAGUUUCUACUGUUGCUUGUAUGUAAAAUGGUCUACUGUUGGCACAAUUCCACUAGCAUUCUUGCUGUAACUAACUAAAAUUCAACAAUAGACCUUAGAAUCACAUCUCUUUUAGUUCAAUGGUCUAUUACUUUAGGCAUUUGGAAUCAUACUUUCACAUCUUACAAUCAUUAAAACAAUAUACUCAAGGUUCUCACUCUUGUGAAUCUGUAAGACCACCCCCAACAAGAACUUAUAUAAGGUUGCAACAUUACUUUCAAACAAAACACGCAAGGAAUUGAACAUAAAAUUAAAGGUACCGAACUUAAAUUAUGUCUUGAACAAUGAUGUAUGGAGGUUUUGGGAGUAGCACUUCACACACUUCUAGUUUUAUUUGACACCCUGCUUUUACUAUAAUCAUUGCAGCACAUCAAAAUCUCCUUUCCACCAACAUGCUUUCGCUGCGCAACUCUGAUUUGUUUGGUAAGUAGUUUAUGACCGUAUUCCAUAAUACUCACCUAAUCUACUCUCUACUGUUUCAAUUUAUCAACUCGUGAUCUAAUAACCCAAGAAACAUAUAGUAAGAAAUAUUGAGAGGUUUAAAAAAUUAGUCUUCAAGAGCUUAUAAAUAAAUAAAAAAUAAAAAUACUUGUUUCAUUCAUUCCAGAAGUUAAUCACCUUGAAU
rnacentral:lncRNA from 1 species